GACGAACGCUGGCGGCGUGCUUAACACAUGCAAGUCGCACGGAAAGGCCCUGCUUUUGUGGGGUGCUCGAGUGGCGAACGGGUGAGUAACACGUGAGUAACCUGCCCUUGACUUUGGGAUAACUUCAGGAAACUGGGGCUAAUACCGGAUAGGAGCUGCUGCUGCAUGGUGGGGGUUGGAAAGUUUCGGCGGUUGGGGAUGGACUCGCGGCUUAUCAGCUUGUUGGUGGGGUAGUGGCUUACCAAGGCUUUGACGGGUGGCCGGCCUGAGAGGGUGACCGGCCACAUUGGGACUGAGAUACGGCCCAGACUCCUACGGGAGGCAGCAGUGGGGAAUAUUGCACAAUGGGCGGAAGCCUGAUGCAGCAACGCCGCGUGCGGGAUGACGGCCUUCGGGUUGUAAACCGCUUUCGCCUGUGACGAAGCGUGAGUGACGGUAAUGGGUAAAGAAGCACCGGCUAACUACGUG
rnacentral:rRNA from 1 species